rnacentral:snRNA from 1 species
CAAAUUUGACAGCAUAAUUAAGAA